rnacentral:lncRNA from 1 species
GGGGUUUGGACUUCUAAUGGCCAUAUAAAUAUUGGAACGCUUCAGGGUCUUCGAAUUCUUCGGUUCUUUAGAGUCUUCAAUUGGUGCAACUGCAAUUCUUCAAAUGCAUGGUGAAAUCCUCUUUAAUUUGAAGUGGGACUCAGUUGCUCCUUAAUGUGGUCCAAGGCAAAAGGGGAUUGUCUAACUAUUUGAGGUGAGAGAGAACAUUUGAUGAAAUCAGAAGAUAUGAGAAGUAAAGGAUGUUCUUGGAAAUAAAUUUUUAGAGAGAUGCUUUCCUAAGGGAUUUCCUGUAUCUAGGGUCAUUGCCUAAAGUCAACAUGUGCUCUGAUACAAUUUCUGUAGCGACCCGACCCAAAAUAAGUCAAGCCUCUGUGUAUCUGUG